UGUGUGUGAAGGUGGUAGGGAGGAGAUGUAGUUUCAUAGAUCCUGAAAUAGCUAGAUUCUUCGGUAGUUUUUUUCCCCCAGCUUUAUGGAGAUAUAAUGGACAUACAACAUUUUGUAAGCUUAAGGUUUACAAAGUGUUAAUUUGAUAUAGUUAUGUGUUCCAAAAUGAUUACCACCAUAGCCUUAGAACAGUUCUUUUUUAUUUCAGCUUUUCUCUCUCACAAAUGGUUUCCACAAUUUACUUCAAAUUCCUGCCACAAUUUUGUUCAAUCAAAUAUUUAUCUAUAGGUACGUUUGGCUUGCAUAGCUUCAAUAAUACAAAAUUACAUUUCUGAGUUUUCCUAUUUUACUGUCAUUAUUCAUUUCCCUCUUUAAAUUAUGAACAUUUAAAAAUUGUAUUCUGAAGUGAGAACAUGGAUCAGUCAUUUCGUAAAGACAAGUUGCAAUGCAAUCUUGAAAUCACUGAAAACAAGUAGGAUCAUCAGAGAAAUUCAAGAAAGCAGUUGACAGUGAGAAGUGUGGCAGACACGAUAUUGUCCCUCACAAGCAGGACAGAAAAGAUGACAGAACUACCCCUUGUCAUAAUGAAUGACAGUAAACAGCAGUAUUCACAUGAAAAGGUUUCAGGUAUUUUUGGAAACCUAUUCAAAUAUAGAUUUUAUUAUGCAGAGAUGUGAAUCAGGAUAAAACAUUUUUUACAUCUUCACCCUUAGUUGCACUGUUACCUUUUGGAGGCUCCAUUCUAAAUCUUAGAAAGAAUAUUCACAUGUACUUAUCUCCUCAAAUAUAUAUUUUUCCCCUCGUAAAAAAAAUAGAAAUAAUCUUUAUAGUUCUGCUUUCAAAAUUAUCCAACUAAAAGCAACUUAUUUAGGUUUGGCUAUCUUUUUUGCCCAUUUAUAAUACUUGGGAAAGUGUUUGGAAGGAAGACAUUUUCCCCCCAAAUACUGAACUUAAGUUUUAAACUUUAGUUAAGUUUUCCAUUUUUAUAAAAGUUAUUUUCUAAGGGAAAUUUAUUAUGAACAGGGAAAUGAUUUUGCAAGUUGUUUGUUUCCACCAGCCGUAUAUAUUCCUACUCAACUUAUUGAAGGUUGUUGGUCAGAGUUGAGAAAUUAGAGAUUGAUUUAUUGUUUCACUGUAGAGAAAAGAUGUCUUCAGAAAGGAUAAAUAUCUAGAUAGGGUGAAUUGAUUGAGUUCUUAUUUUAAUAAUUGAGAAAGGGGCCACAAAUUCAUCUUAUUUAGCAAUCUAUAAGAACCUAAACACUCAAUAACUAGAGGCAAAACUAUUCAAGUUUUUCUGGCGUGUAACAAACAUACAGAAGUGAGGAUGAUGUUUGAGAAUUAAUUAAAGAAAGUUGAUGAUGGAGACUGAGUCAUUUUGAAAUUCUUUAUCCAUUUAGAUGUGAUGAAAAUUAUAACUUUGGUGGUAAACUAAUGAAUGAUAUUAGUACUAUUACUAUCUUUCUUUGCUGAAAACAAAUCCCUUUGGCAAGUAUUUUCCCAAAGCAGUAAAACAAACAUGUCAGUAGAUCAGUGGGUAUUUUAGCUGAACCAAUGAUAAAAGCUAUUUGAUUUCUCAGGAAGAAAAUAUGCUGAUCAAAAUUUCCACCGAGUAUUGCUUGCCAGAGGUGAGGGUAGGUAGGGGAAUAGGUGAAAUAAGUGAAGGGGAUUAAGAGGUGCAAUCUUUCAGUUAUAAAAUAAAUAAAUCGUGGGGGUGAAAGGUAUUGUCUCAGUACUGGAGUCAGUAAUAUUGUAAUAACUUUGUAUGGUGACAGAUGGUAACUACAGUUAUUGGAUGAGCAUUUCAUAAUGUAUAUAAUUGUCAAAUCAAUAUGUUAUAUACCCGAAACUCAUAUAAUAUUGUAUAUCAACCAUACUUCAAUUAAAAAAACUUCCACCAGAUACAAGUUGUAAAUGUUGGCAGCCCAAUGGCAGGAUUCUGGUAUCUUACCUGGGUGGUCACUCUGCAUAAUGACAAAAUAAACAAGAAACAAUGAGCCUCCCUCCCUACAAAGCACAAAAGCACCACCACCAGAAGCCGAAUCUGUUUGUCUCUACAUGAGUGAGCCUAGACUCCUGAAAUAUUAUGGCACCAAGACAGACAAGAGCAAUUGCCUGGUUGCUGAAUCUAAUUUAUCAAGUGUCAGUUCAGUUCAACUCAGUCCAGAUCUUAAAAGUGACAUGCUUGGGACAUCAGCCUCCUACCUGCAGGGCAGUAAGAUAGGUAGGACAUGGCUGGGUUAUUUGUUGUGAUUUUGAGUAAUUUUAAACCUAAAUUGAAUACAAAAAACAAUCAAUGUUAUAGAAAUUAGAAUGCCAACUAUGCACUUAUUUUAGGAUUAACAGGAAACUGUUAAGACAUUUAGUGUUUGUGGCAGCAUUCAUGAUGCAAUCCAUGGUCCUCUGAGGGACAUGUGUUCACUUAUUUUCAGGUGUGUGUGUGUAUGUGUGUGUGUGUGCAUGUACAAGCAAAGGUGUGCUCUGUGUUGGGUGUUCUGAAGUCAAAGCUGAGAAGACAAGCCAGAGGCAAGUGACAUUCCAGGGUCAACGUAUACGAUAGGAAAGGAGGUUUGUGGUCAAGAGAAGGAAAAGAGGGUAACAGGAAAAGCUGGGAUGAAGAAGCAGCCCCCAGGAACUGACAGUGUGAAGAAAACAUCCCCUCCUGUCACCCUUACUGUAGGCUUCUCUCUUGUCCUGAGGUCGGGCCAUCAUUAUACUCUGAGUCUGGGCCCAUAGGCAAGGCCCACACCAAAGCAGGAUCUUGAUUCUCCCUCAAAAGGUCUAGAUAUUUUCAGUGUCAACCAUUAUGCAAAGAAGCUAACCUUCACUCACAGGAAGAUGAAGGUGGAGCUUAGCCAGAAGGAAAGGGAUCUCGAUCCUAUCUGAGGUCCUUGCUCGCCUGGGCCCAGGCUUGGGGGAGGAUGGAAAUGUGUUCCGUUACUCCCUGGCUCUUGCCUCGGUGUAUCCCUGGGACAGAAGCAGGCUGAGGUUGCCUGAGGAGGAAGACCCAGCUCCCGGGGGCUCCGAGAAGAGGCCUACCCUGGAUCCACACCUAAGUUUCACUUGCUGUCUUUUUCUCAUUGUUGUCAUCUUUGAGAAUUUAGUUUGUCUUCCUAAAUAUAACAGUAUGGGCUUGGGUGUGUAAUGGAGAAUUGAGGGGAGGAUUUACUCGUUUUGGGGUUCAGUCAAAGGGGGAAAGAAGAGCCUCUGAGACCAUUAGGCUGCGAUGACGCAGAGCCUCCAGGGAGUGUGGGUUUCAGGGAGCCAGAGCUGAGCUACCAAAUCCAGUCAUCCUCUCAUACACACAGAUGUGCUGGCCUGUCUUUUACCCUAAGGGAUUUGAAGAGAUGAGAAGCAUCAUAUACUGGCAGGAAAUCUGAUGUAUCAUGUCUGCUUCUGGGAAGAAGAAACCAAAGAAUGAAAGUUUGUUUUCAGGAGGUGUUGGGCAUUUAUUUAUUUCCUAAUUAACUCUUUCUUCCCCUUUGCUCAGGCAAAAACUAGUCAUUUAACAUAUUUUGAGAUAGAGGGCUGACCAUAGUGUCCGGUGAACAGUGAAACAAGAUAUUUAUUGAAUGAAUGAAUGAAUGAAGAUGACACAGCCUCCAUCCUUGUGGCUCACAGAUUAAGGAGGCCUGAGAAAAGCCUCAUGUUGCAGAAAAGUCCAUAAAGACCGAGCAUUCCAAAGCUUUACUUUGAGCUGGUGCAUGAGCCCAUCACUUAUUUCACAGGGAUUAAGGAUUUUCCCCUUCCUCGUUGAGGUGGAACAGAAGAGGCAAAUUGUUACAUACACAUGGUCUAACCUGAAAGGCCAAACCAUAGGAGGCAAUUCUCCUUCCCUAUCCUACCAAACAGAAGUCUGUCAUGCUGCUGCUCUAUUCCUUUACUCUCCCUGCCUGGGCUGGAAAUGAUGGCUGAAGACAUCACUGGAGACGGUGCAACAGAAACACAGAACUGCUUCCCCAUUGCAGAGACUGUCCCGGAGCCCAGCUCCCUCCCACUAUACUGCCUGGGGUGACCUGGAAUAACCUGCCUUCUGUUAAGCCACCUCUAUUGAGUCUCAUGCAGAUGAAUGCAAACCCAAAUACAGGGAGCUAAUGAUGUAUUUAAAUGUGAGAGUUGAUGUUUUUAGUUUAGAACGAUUGCUCUAGCUUUGUGGGAGCUGUUCUGGACAGGGACAAGGGCAGCUGUGGGGACACAGACAGGAGGGCUGUUGGUGAUUGACGAUGACAGCUGCAGGGCUAAGGCGGCCUUGCUGGAGAGACAGGUGGAUCUGAGAAGUGCUGGGAGGGGAAGAGUUAACCGGAGGUGACAAGACAAAGCAGUUGAGAGGCUCUGGCUUGAAUUAGUGGGCAGGAUGAAGAGUCUUUAAUUGUUGGCAUCUCUAAAAAAACACCGGGGUUAAAAAUCAAGCUUUUUCAAUUCUUGAUUUCCUUAAAAUGAUGGAUGGAACGACUUUUGCCCAGGUUUUCAAUCAUGACCAUAGAGGUUUGGAGCUUCAAGGAUGCCUGAAAUCUCUCAUAAAUAAUUCUUGUGCAUUUCCCAGGUUGGGAAUGAUCCUGCCACCCAAAACAAGCCUGGAGAAGCAAUUUUUAAAAAUGAUUCAUACAUUGGCAUAUCUGGAGUCAAACAUCUGAGACAUCUAGGUUCUGAGAACUCAGUCACUAACUCAUCCUUUCAGACGCCACUAACAGCUUCAGUAAGAGCGAAGCCGGGGAGCUCUCCUUGUUUCCUGGUCCGGUCCCUCUGUUUGCAGCCCUGGGCUGUGCCAGAGAUCUGGUCCCCUGGGCUGUGACUUUGGAAAGCCUUGUGGGCUGGGGAGAGGGUGAAUGGAGCUGAGAAUACCCAGAAUUGUGGGGUUAAGGUGGUGGAGCAAAUUUCAACACUGUCCCUUAUAAAUAUAACAGGUAAUUAUAUUUCUUAUUUUUGCCUUUUUUUCCCCCUUCCACAGACAUAAACACAAAGAGUUUUUGGGUUCUUCUGAGAGCAAGAGACAGACAGAGAGAGAGGGAGAGGGAGA